UUUCGGUCUUUUUCUUUUUCCUACGUUGAUUUCUGUUUCCGGUUCCGCGCCAGAUUUCCCGCUAAGUAAAACGAUGAACCUUUGAGGAUAUUCUUCUAAUCGAUUUUCCUCUCGAUAUAGUGCAUAGUUCGGGUUGAAUCGUAAUAGGUUAGGAUAUCGCGCGGCGAUGUAUUGUACGUUGCGUAAUAUGGUAAUUUUGAAUAUGUUUAAGGAAUGCAUGGGGAGUUGGAUGAAGAUGAGAGGUUAGUGAUUUUUGUGGAGUGAUAUCCAAGUGUUUGGGAUUUAAUAGACUUUGUUUAAAAUUUGAAGAAUGAAAGAAAGUGUUCGACGUGAAAAGUUGAAUAGUGGUUUUAAUACUAAAUUUGAAGUAUAUAAUUCGAACUUUGCAUAAAUUUUUGCAUUUGCGUAUCAUUUUAAUGGGAAUGAUAGAGUUUCCAUGUAAAACAAUGGGAUAUGAUAUUAUUUGUAAAUAUACAUCGUCUGUUUCCACGAAUUCAUAUUUAUAUUCCCAGAGAGAAUAGAAAAAAAUGGGAAAAAUUUCUACCAAUCAAGAUCUUCUAAAAUAAUUAAUCAUAUUCUCAUUCGAGAUAUUUUAGAAAAAAUAUUCAAGAGUAUUAAAAUUUGUCUUCAAAUCCAUUCGAUCAAGAUUUAGAUGGACAAUAAUGCGUGAAUAUAUCCCGCCCAUGAUAGCAAAAACAGGUACCGUUAGCGGAUUAUUAAUAUUCAUGAUGUCAGCGAUACGCUUGGGCAUUGCAAUACAAGGUUUCCUUGUACCCUAUUCAUCGAACGUGUCUGUUUCUCGGAAAAACGAGCAACUGCGUAUCGGUAUGCAAGCAAUAAUGCAAUACGAUUGAUCGUUGUGCAAUGCUUCACCGCCACCGAUACUGUUUCAAAACGUAUAUUAGCGCCGAGUGAUCGAAAAAUUUUUUAACAAUCCUUAUUCUCUUCUAGAAAUUAAAAAUUAUUAUUAUAAAA